AGAGUUUGAUCAUGGCUCAGAGCGAACGCUGGCGGCGUGGCUUAGGCAUGCAAGUCGAACGUGAAAGCCCGCAAGGGUGAGUAAAGUGGCGAAAGGGUGAGUAAUAUAUCGAUAACCUACCCUCGAGACGGGGACAACAGCUCGAAAGGGCUGCUAAUACCCGAUGGUUCUGGGUUGAUGCAAUCUUCCCAGCUAAACGGUGGGGUCCUUCGGGACCUUCUGCUCGAGGAGGGGUCGAUAUCCUAUCAGCUAGUUGGCGGGAUAACAGCCCACCAAGGCUUUGACGGGUAGCCGGACUGAGAGGUCGACCGGUCACACUGGCACUGAGACACUGGCCAGACUCCUACGGGAGGCUGCAGUCGAGAAUCUUCCGCAAUGGGCGAAAGCCUGACGGAGCGACGCCGCGUGCAGGAUGAAGGCCCUCGGGUUGUAAACUGCUGUCAAAUGUUAGGAAUGGUUAGUCGCUAAUAACGGCUAACUUGACAAAGGCAUGAGAGGAAGUCACGGCUAACUUCGUGCCAGCAGCCGCGGUAAGACGAAGGUGGCAAGCGUUGCUCGGAAUCACUGGGCAUAAAGCGCGCGUAGGUGGCUUGAUAAGUCGGUGGUGAAAUCCCAUGGCUCAACCAUGGAACUGCCGUCGAUACUGUCAGGCUUGAGGGCGGUAGGGGAGAGUGGAACUCCUGGUGUAGCGGUGAAAUGCGUAGAUAUCAGGAGGAACGCCGGUGGCGAAAGCGACUCUCUGGGCCGUUCCUGACUCUAAAGCGCGAAAGCUAGGGGAGCAAACAGGAUUAGAUACCCUGGUAGUCCUAGCUGUAAACGAUGGGCACUAGGUAGAGGUGGUUUCGAAGCCUUCUCUGCCGGAGCUAAUGUAUUAAGUGCCCCGCCUGGGGAGUAUGGUCGCAAGGCUAAAACUCAAAGGAAUUGACGG
rnacentral:rRNA from 1 species